UACGAAGGGGGCUAGCGUUGCUCGGAAUCACUGGGCGUAAAGCGCACGUAGGCGGAUUGUUAAGUCGGGGGUGAAAUCCUGGAGCUCAACUCCAGAACUGCCUUCGAUACUGGCGAUCUUGAGUUCGGGGAGAGGUGAGUGGAACUGCGAGUGUAAGAGGUGAAAUUCGUAGAUAUUCGCAAGAACACCAGUGGCGAAAGGCGGCUCACUGGCCCGAUACUGACGCUGAGGCACGAAAGCGUGGGGAGCGAACAGGG
rnacentral:rRNA from 1 species